UACGUAGGGUGCGAGCGUUAAUCGGAAUUACUGGGCGUAAAGCGUGCGCAGGCGGUUCGUUAAGUCAGAUGUGAAAGCCCCGGGCUCAACCUGGGAACUGCAUUUGAAACUGGCGGGCUUGAGUGUGGCAGAGGGGGGUGGAAUUCCGCGUGUAGCAGUGAAAUGCGCAGAUAUCGGGAAGAACACCCGUGGCGAAGGCGGCUCUCUGGGACGGUACUGACGCUGAGACGCGAAAGCGUGGGGAGCGAACAGG
rnacentral:rRNA from 1 species